rnacentral:lncRNA from 1 species
UGCAAUGAGUACUAUUAAUAAAGGAAAAUUAUAAUCAAUUUGAGGACUAGCUUAUUUUUUUAAGUAUUUUGGUAUUGACAAACGAAGUUAAUGUAAGAUAUUAUAUCUUAUCUCUAGGAAAAUGUCUAGAGCGAACCAGAAUAACUUGAUAAGGGAUCUCCUGCAAGCGGUUCAAGAUCUUGCCAGGCAGAAUCAAAAUCCCGCUCCACCUACACCACCAGCUCCUAUUACUCUUCCGACUCACGCCUCGGUAGUUGAGUUAUUUCGAAGGUAUAAACCCCCUACCUUUGAUGGAGCAUCUGGUCCACUAGUAGUUGAGGAAUGAUUUCGUAAACUCGAACGAAUUUUUCGGCUUAUAGAUUACACUGAUGCCCAAAGGGUUCAAUGUGAGGAAUUUAUAUUUACCAGUGAUGUAAGUCACUGGUGGGAUUCGAUGUCCCUAACUAGGACUCCGGGACAGCAAUUGGCAAUAACUUGGGAACAAUUCAAGGAGGAAGUGAUGGACAAAUAUUUUCCUCAAUCUCUAAGGGAUUUCAAGGAGAACAAAUUCCUUCAACUCAAGCAGGGUAAUAUGUCCCUAACGGAUUACGAGCGAAACUUCGAUCAACUCGCAAGGUAUGCUCCACAUCUGGUUGACACGAAAAUUAAGAAAACUCGAAGGUUCGAGCAAGGGUUAAACCCAGACCUAAGUAUGAUCCUUAUGUCACAUCGCUUCACGUCGUACCAUGAGAUGUUGGAACGAGCUCACGCUAUCUGGUAUCAAAAGGCUAAUGCAGAGCAACAUCGUCAAUUGUACAACCAGCAGGAUAAAGGACAAAUUGGAAAGAGAAAGUGGAAUGGUCAAGACAAAGGAAAAGAAAGUUAAUAUCGGAUCUAGCGCCAGUAAGGCCAUGGUAGCUGCAGUAGUGCCAUGCCCUAAGUGGUAAGCCUCAUCGUGGUGAAUACUUGUAUGGGAAGAAUGCCUAUUUUCGGUGUGGCAAAUCAGGACAUAUUGCUAGGGAUUGUCCCACAUUUGCUCAGAGGAAGGAUAUAACAAUGAUCAAAAGAAGAAGGGAAAAGCACGAGUUUGUACAUUGACUCAAAAAGAUGCAGAGGGGAACUCAAACAUAAUAACAGGUAUUAUACUGGUAGCCAAUACACCUGCUUAUAUACUUUUUGAUUCAGGAGCUACUCACUCUUUUGUAUCAACAUCUUUCAUUGCUAAAUCUAGUAUUAAUUGUAAAAAGUCAAAGAAUACACUAGAAGUUAGCCUCCUCUCAGGCAGGACAUUGAACACAGACAAGUUAGCUAAGUCAGUAAAAUUUGAUAUUGAGGGAAAAACCUUAGAAGCUAAUUUGUAUAUGAUAGAUAUGAAGGACUUUGAUGUGAUUUUGGGCAUGGAUUGGUUAUGAUGUAAUUAUGCGACCAUUCGUUGUAGAACAAGGGAAGUGUCUUUUCAAAAAACUUGAGAAGAACAAUUUUCUCUCCCGGAAUAAAGACCAAACCCCAUCUCCAACUGGUUUCGACCUUACAAGCCAAGAAAAUGUUGAGAAAAGAAACAUCUUAAGGGUUUCUAGUUAAUAUCUUUGGAGAAAAACUGGCAACGACAAAGAUUGAGGAUGUACCAGUAGUACAAGAAUUUAUAGAUAUGUUUCCAAAAGAUCUACUGGGUAUUCCACCAGAUAGACAAGUGGAAUUCACAAUAGAUAUGGUUCCCAGAGCGGCGCCAGUAUCUAAAGCCUUAUACAGAAUGGCCCCAAAGGAACUUCAGGAGUUGAAAAUCCAGUUACAAGAAUUGUUAGACCUUGGUUUUAUUCGACCAAGUGUAUUACCAUGGGGCGCACCGGUAUUGUUUGUAAAGAAUAAAGAUGGAAGUAUGAGGAUAUGUAUCGACUAUCGGGAGUUGAACCGUUUGAUUGUCAAGACUAGGUAUCCUCUCUCGAGAAUCGAGGAUUUGUUUGAUCAAUUGAAAGGGGUUAAGGCAUUUUCUAAGAUCGAUUUACGAUCUGGAUAUCAUCAAUUGAAGGUUAAGGCAGAUGAUAUACCUAAGACAGCUUUCAGAACUCAUUAUAGACAUUACAAGUUCACAGUUAUGCCAUUCGGAUUGACAAAUACUCCGACAGUGUUCAUGGAUCUAAUGAAUCGAGUAUUUCAUCAGUAUUUGGAUCAAUUUGUUAUAGUCUUCAUUGAUGACAUUUUGAUAUACUCCAAGAGUAAAUAUUAACAUGUGGAACAUCUUAGAAUAGCGUUAGAGAUACUAUGAAAGGGAAAGUUAUACGCCAAAUUCAAAAAGUGCGAGUUUUGGCUUGAACGAGUUGGAUUUCUCGGUCAUAUAGUUACUGCCCAAGGAAUUGAAGUGGACCCAGUAAAGAUGGAAAUAAAGAAGGAAUUGAAUAUGAGACAGAGACGAUGGUUGGAGCUAGUGAAAGAUUAUGAUUGUACUAUUCAUUAUCAUCCGGGUAAGGCUAAUGCUGUUGCUGAUGCUCUAGCAGAAAGUCGACAGUUGACAUCAUUACCUACUAUUUCGAUGGAAUUGAUCAAAUACUUGGAAAAGUUGCAAAUUGAAGUGAUUACCACACCAGAACAAGUCACUGCUCAUUUAGCAACUUUGGUGGUUCGACAUACUCUUAGAGAUCGGAUCAUAGAAGCACAGGAUAAAGACUCAUUCUUGCAGAAGAUCAAGAACGAGAUUGGUACUGAUAAGAGAAAAGAUUUUGGAAUAGCUUCGGAUCAUGCACUAAUGUUUAAAGGAAAAAUUUGUUUACCAAAUGAUGAAGUUUUGAGGAAGGAGAUAUUGGAGGAGGCUCAUUCCACCCCGUACGCCACACAUCCUGUCGUACAAAAAUGUAUCGAGACCUUCGAAAUACAUUUUGGUGGAGGAAUAUGAAAAGAAGUAUAUGUUCAUUUGUGGCAAAAUGCAUAGUAUGCCAACAAGUUAAAGCGGAACAUCGUUAAAGCGGAACAUCAAAGACCGUCAGGGUUAUUAAAUCCAUUAGACAUACCUGAAUGGAAGUGAGAGAAUAUCGCAAUGGACUUUAUGGUUGGAUUUCCAAGAUCAGCAAGAGGAUAGAAUGCUAUAUGGGUAAUAGUGGAUCGUCUAACAAAGUUCGCUCAUUUUCUUCCAGUAAAAAUGACAUUCAGUCUAGAUUAGCUGGCGCAGUUGUACAUUAGAGAGAUUGUAAGAUUGCAUGGUGUCCCCGUGUCCAUUGUAUCUGAUAGAGAUCCGAGAUUUAUGUCAAAAUUUUGGAAGAGCUUACAAGGAGCUAUGGGAACGAAAUUGAAUUUCAGUACAUCAUAUCACGCUCAAUCUGAUGGUUAGUCUGAAAGGACCAUUCAAACUUUGGAAGAUAUGCUAAAGGCUUGUGUUCUGGAUCUAGGAGGCAGUUGGAAAUCGUAUAUACCUCUGAUAGAAUUUGCAUAUAAUAACAGUUUCCAAGCAACUAUUGGAAUGACACCGUAUGAAGCUCUUUAUGGUAGAAAAUGUAGAUUACGUGUUCAUUGGGACGAAAUUGGAGAAAAGAGAGUUUUGAGACCAGAAAUCAUUGAAAGAACAAUUGAAGCCAUUGAUAAGAUCCGUACCAAGAUAAAGGCCGUGCAAGAUAGACAAAAGAGCUAUGCAGAUACCAGGAGAAAAGACUUGAAAUUUGAAGUUGGGGAGAAAGUCUUUCUAAAGGUGGCACCAAUAAAGGGUAUACUUAAGUUCAGCAAGAAAGGCAAACUACGACCUCGUUAUAUCGGACCUUUUGAAAUACUUGACAGGGUUGGAAAUGUGGCUUAUCGAUUGGCGUUGCCACCUGAACUAUCGAUAGUUCACAAUGUGUUUCAUGUAUCGAUGAUCAGAAAGUAUAUGCAUGAUCCUAAUCAUGUGGUCAACUACCAAUCCUUGGAAGUACAAAAAGACUUAUCUUAUGAGGAAUUAUCGAUCAAGAUACUGGAUUGAAACGUACAUAAAUUACGGAACAAGGAGAUUCAACUAGUCAAGAUGCAAUGAAAUAAUCAUGAAGUAGAAGAAGCUACUUAGGAAAGAGAAGAAGAAGUUAAAGACAAAUACCCAACACUCUUUGUCCAACCAUAAGGUAAAUUUCGAGGAUGAAAUUUUAUUUAAGGUGUAAGGGUUGUAGUAGCCGAGAAAAAUAAAAUGGAAUUAUGCUAAUAUUUUGUGAUGAUCUAGCUCCACGAGCCUAACCCAUUUUUGAAACGACCUAUGGAAGCUCAACCCAUGUAAGAUUACGAAAACCCAAGUCAUAAGUUAAUUAAGAGCCCAGUAAUUUAAGAGAUUAAGUUUAAGUAAAAUUGAUUACAAAGAUUUAAUGAAUAACUGGGUUGUCACAAUGGUCAUCUACAUGGUAUUUUAUAUAGGUAACCCAGGUUCAAAUCACCAUGUAGAUGUUUUUCAUAAAACUUUCAUAUGAAUUAUUUUUAUGACUUAGAGACUCUUCAAAUUCUUAGUUAAAAACUAAAUUUAAUGAUAAUACAACUCCCCCACUUAAUUUUUCAUUAAAAAGAAAUGUUAUAGAAGUGGAAGGUCACUUUUUCACUACACUUCUCUUCAAAUCCGAAUUUCAUCUCAUUUUCUCUCAAAAAAAUAUAUUUCAUAUCAAGUUAAGCUUAAGGUAUAACGAAGGUGAGAAGAAGGAAGGCUUUCUAUACAUUUUGUUCUUUUAUCCAAGAAAAUUCAAGGUAGGUAGAGGUGUAAGUGUUCAUUCGUUUUAAAAUCUGAUUUUUCGACAAAUGUUUAAUGAAACGGUACCUUCGGGUACGGUGCUUCAGCACUACAACAGUUUGAAUGAUCAUUCUUCGGGGCUAGGUGUUAUGAUAAUGCUAUAGUAAUUGGAUUUUGCGGGAAAUCCAUUUACGUGCGACGGUAUGAAUCUAUAGUUCGGAAUUUCUAAUUUGAUAACGAAUCGCACUGAUGAUAUCUAUUGAGUUUCAAACUCAUGGGUUAAUUCCCUUCCUACAGAUUGAAUAAAUUUUCCUUGGGGCGUAGAUAAUGGUAAAGGAUGAUGCAACAUGUCAUGGAGAAAUCGAUGAUUACAUCUUUAGUUGAUUUUGAGAUGUUUACACUUUCUUUAAAUUCGAUUCUUAUGAAUAUUGUGUGGGUCUAUUUUACGAAUACUCAUUAUGAAUAAACUAUGUUUAAAAGUAGAUAUCCGUCAUAGGAAUAAAUUUACAAAUCACCGUAUACAAAAAAAAAAAAAAAGUUAGCGACUUAAAGUUUUGAUAUCUCUUCAAAAAUUUCAGUUUCUGCCUCAUCUUUAAAAAAAUCAUAACUCUUUCAUUACUUGGUAUUUUUAUACGAAAGCAAUUGGAUUAGAUAGCCUAAUAAAUUAGAUACUAAAUAAAAUUGGAAUCAUGUAAAUUCAAUAUCGGUAAAAGGUUAUAUGUCACAUAAAGUAAACCGUGCUGGGUGCUGUCUCUAUUUUUCAGCUUUUACCCUUGUUUUCAAAAAUUUAUAACUCACUCGUUACUUGAAAUUUUUGGAUGAAACCAAUUGGAUUUGAUAUUCUCAUGGAUUGGCUACUAAAUAAAUUUGAAAUUAUGUUGUUUUGACGUCGUUGGAAUUUUAUAUGCCAUUUUAAGUGAACUGCACCGGUCACCUUUCAACCUAGUCAUUGCUGAGUUUUGAAAUUUUUUUUAAUAACUCAUAUGAUGUCGACGGAAGCUAAUUUUUGACUAUGUCAUAUUAAAAUUUGAUGAAGUUUCAAGGUCAGUAGUUAUGAAAACAAAUUUAUUUUGACAAUUACUGUUCGAGACAAAAAAAACUAGAAUAGCAAAUUACUUUUUAAAUUUUGCCAAAAUUUCACGUCAAUAGUCGUUACAUGCAUAGAACCUAUUCUAAAAAUAUUUUUGAAAUUGUUUUCUUUUAGAAUUGGAUUAUUGUUUAAAUAAAAAAAGAAAAUUCUUUAAUUAAAUUCUAAAAUUUAAUAUUUUUACCUUCUACUAAAAAUAUAUUGAACUAACUUUACGGCUAAAGUACAAUGGUUUGAGUGACGUUUCCGUCCAUGCGGGUCGGGGCGUCACAUAUGACUUGUGACCUGAUCUAAUGGCCCGUGACCAAAUCUUUUGAAUUUGUGACGUGUGGCCCUUGCAACUCGACGGGUCACAUAUUCAAUAAACUUUGUCAUACAAACUCAAUUGAUUGAGACAUAAAUACCGCCACCAUCACUACCUAUGGACAUUGAUCCACCAUACCCACCAUUAUAACACUUCACCACAACUACCAUUAUCGCUCUACCACUAUCACUACUAACAACCCAACAACCAAGUAAAUCACCAACGUCAAACUCUGGUAACGCAUCAAAUCGGAGGCACAUGGUUGCAAUCAAAAGUUGUGGUCACCGUGAAAGGCGAUAGUGGUGUAGCAGCGACAACAGCACCGCUCACGCUGCCUUACUAUGACGAACCUAAAGCCAAAUCCCAAUUACCCAAUGCUAAAUCUAAAGUCUGACAAAUUGGGGGCAUUGGUGGCUUCUCCUUGAUCGAGCUCAUCUAAAACUAAGUUGGAAUCUCGAUUUUCUGAUUGGGUUAGCCUGGGAUGGAUCUCAUCAGAAUCGCCACUGCAAGGCACUUAGAUCGUCAUGCGCUGCUGUGCUGACCUUAUCGGCUGGAGCUUCAGUGAUGAAAAGGAAAAAUCAUAACUAAGGCGCUAAUGGUGCAAGAGUAGUCGAAGAGAGAGAGCACGAACGAGAGAUAUAGAUGAGAGAGAUUAUUUUUAAUUUUGACGAAUACCUGAUUUAUGCCCAAGUAAACUUAAUACCUAAUUUUAGAAUUUUCAUCUUUAAAUAUCUAGUGCGGUGUAAUUCUCCCCUCGAUAAAUACCAUAUUUACUAAUUAAAAUAUUUAAAAACGUAAUAAGUAAUUUGUAAAAACUCCCAACACCCCUGAACUUCUAAACACAUGCACACACAGAAAUCUCAAGCCCGAAUUAAGAAUCUAUUGCUCUUCGUGUUCAUAAAACUUGUGCAAAGUUCAAAGCUCAAGUCGUAGAGCCCCAUUAAAUAUUUAUGUUCUUUAAUUUCUAUUUUCUUGGAAAAAGUUAUAUCCACAAUUCCAAUUGGGUCUUUCGAUUAGGUUUUUAGGGUUAAAGAUGAAUUAAAUCAAUGGUAUUUGUGUAUUGCAUGAAUGGGUUUACAUUUUUUAUUCAAUUGGAUUACUGUAGAACUGAUGGUGUAAGAUUUUGCUUGGACUUUCCAUUGCCAAAUAGAACUACUCAGGUCAGGAUUAUUAUUAGAUGGAAAGCUUCUAUCUUCUUCCUUUUUAGGAGAGAUAACAUAGAAAAUGGAGAAGAUGAGUAUGAUGAAAAUGGGGAAGAGGAGUAUGAUGGAAUAUAGACACAUCUAAAAAUAUGAAAAAAUGGGUUAUUCCAAAAUUUCCCAAGAAUUUUAGGAAUAGAUGCAUUGAUAUGCUGUAGAAACAUAAUGGCCCAAAUGAAAUGAAUUCUUUUUAUACCCGUGUAGUUCCUUCCCAGAAUCAUCCAGAUUUCAUUAUGUUUAUAGGUUUUCCAUCUGUUCGAACCUUUUGUACUGUACGUUGCCAUAGUCUAGUGACACAUUUUUCCUCUUACAGAGUUGACACGAAUCCACAAAGUGUAAAUCCUUGUGCAGUUCAAUUUGUGAAACCCACAUGGAUCAUUGAGAAUGUGAAAUAUGAAGCUAAUGCUGCAUGAAUUAUUCAAUAAUUGCUUUUCGUGAUUCUGAAUAUUAUGGCCGUUGACUUCUGACUAGGUCCUGAAUCUUGCCAUGCAAACAAAGAGUACCAUGUUAUGAUUAGGGUUUUUGAUUGGCGUUUGUGACACUUUUGUGAGUGCUUGUCAUUUUUUUAAAUUUCUGCCACUUUUUUAUUGUUAGUUACUUUUUCUGAUUUUUGUAACUUUUUUGAGUGACAAACAUAGAUUUUGAUGGAAUUUCUAUCACAUUUUUUUAGUGUAUGUUACUUUCUUAAUUUUUUUUUCAUUUUUUUGAGUACUUAUCACUUUUUUAAAUUUUUGUUACUUUUUUUUUGGUGUUUGUCAAUUUCCUUAAUUUAUGUCAUUUAUUUUAGUGUUUGUCACUUUUUUUUGGGAAUUUCUUUCACUUUUUUAGUGUGUCAAUUUUUUUGCCACUUUUUUUUAUUGUUUAUUACUUUUUUUAAGUUUCUAUUAUUUUUUUUGAGUGACAAACUCAUAAAAAGUGACAAUCAACUUUAAAAAGCGAUAUUCAGCUUUAAAAGGUGACAUUUAGUAUUUAGUAAGUAGAUCAAGUUCUAGUUAAUACUUAAUUUGACCAUGUUCUUGAGUGGGUAAACUAUGUGACACUUUUUAAUAAAAAGUGACAUUGUCACUUUGUAUUUUUUGAGUGUUUGUCACUUUUUUUAAUUUGUUACAUUUUUUGAAUUUUUAUCAUUUUUUUUUUUGAAUGACAAACAUUAAUUUUUUAAUUUGUAUGUCACUUGUUAUUAAAAAGUUAUUAACUUUUUAAUAAAAAAGUGACACUUAAAUUUACAAAGUAUUUUUUACUUCAAUAUAUGUUUUAUAUGAUUUUUCAAAAGACAUCUACUUUUAGGGGUAUUUUUCUAAGUUACCCUUUAUAAUUUUGGAAAUUAGGCUCACUAAUUUAUCUAUGUUUUAAAACUCAAAAAUAAGGAAUUUCAAUAAGAAUUUCUUGUAUUGAGAUUACAAUCACACUAGAAAGAGACCAAUAAAUUCAUUUUCCUACGGCCCGUAGGCUAAAGGAUAGAAAAAUGCAAGUAGAAUGAAGGGAUUUAUCCAUGGAUAGAGCUAAUGAAGAAAGCGAGCUUCAAAAGCAACAAAUGAAAUUGUUCAUGACUUCAUCUUAACAGUUAUACUAAGAUGCUCUUAAAGUCUAUAUGCGAUGGAUAAACUCAUGUAACCAUGACAUAUUUGUUAUUGUGUCACAAUUUAUUUUUCAAAUAAAUGAGGUAAUGCUGAAAAGACCAUAACUUAUGUCCUCCUCUCUUUCUAUUGUUCCUUUCUCUUUCACUCUUUCAACAACAUUGCCACCAUUGCCAUCUCUCGCACCAAAUAAGGAUUUGAUUACUUUAUCUCGUUAGAUGCAUGGGCGGGGUGGGAGCUCGGGGCUGAAUUGAGUGGACUAUCCUCUAUUUCUUCGUGUGUGGUUCCCAAUAAUAGGGAUUUACAUGUCGAGCAAUUGUUUGAAACAAAGAAAAAUUUGUAGUAAAUUGUGUACUGGAUGACAUUAAAAUACAACUUUGAGUUUAAGGUAAAGAAAAUCGAACAAGUCAUUGUUGACAAUUAUCUGCAUCGGCAAUAGCUGUUGUUGGCGUUUGCAAAUAAUUAAGAUGACAAAAAUGAGUUAUUUGUAGUUCCUAAGUAUAUAUGGGAAUAUAGCACGAGUGCAUGAGCUUCGAGCUGGUGACCAUUAGGCUCUCAUGCAGCCCACAAAAGACUGAAAAUUUUUGUGUCAAUGGUUCGAAUUCGCUUCUAAGCGAGCGAAGGGUCCAAAGGACACAUAGUCGGGAGCGAGCCGAAUUUGGAAAUUCAGAGUGAAAAUUUGUCGAAACGAUCACAGGCAAACUUGAGCAUGGUUUAUUGGUAGAUAGAUAGUGCACAAGUUUCAAAAUCCACGGACGAUUUACAAAUCUUCGGACAUCAUUAACGAUGUUCGUUGAGAAUACGAAGUGUUCAUGAGCUACCAAAAGACCUGAAAGGUCAAAUAAUGCAUGUUGGGAAAUUUAAUGGGGUUGAUCGAGGAGAGCUAUCACUGUAGCCAGUAUUGCCAUAAUAUAGGGACAACUAAUCAUGGCUCAACAUUUUUUAUUGAGAUGGUAAGUUUUUCUUCAUGGCUCUUGGACAAUGCAUUUGGAGAUUUUGAAAUGUGAUGUGACCCGUAAUGCUAGUCAAUAACACGGCACUGAAAGCUAGAUACCAAGGUGAGUUGAUAAUUGCUACAUGUCAAUAUGCCAACAUCCAAAAUUAUCCUCUUGCAUUUGACAUAGCUGACAGUGAGAAUAGUCCGUCGAUGCAUUGGUUCUUUACAAAGUUAAAAAAGUGAUAGAGGAAGUCGAGGAACUUGCCUUUAUAAUUGAUCGGGGACCGUCUAUAAUAAAUGGUAUUACUGAAGUUUUUUUCCGAGGCACAUCAUCAGUAUUGCAUAUAUCAUAUAUAAGGCAAUCUGAAACUAGGUAUCGAGACAAAGAUAUUAUUUUAUUGUUCAAAAGAGCAAUCGAAGAUUACAGUGUUAAAGACUGUAAUAAGUUUGUGGUCAAAAUAGGAAGUAAAUCAUUCUCGACAUGAGAUUAUCUAACAAAAAUGGGGAUUGAACAUUGAACAUUGGGUGCAGUCACUUUUCCAGGAUGUCGAUAUAAUAUGAUAACAUCAAACAACACGGAGUUUCUCAAUACAUAGUUCAUAAAGUAUCAAAAGCUACUAAUUCUUGCAAUGAUUGAGAAUAUUUAUAACAAACUGCAACAAUGAUUUUAUGACUGACGUGCGGAAUCAUAGAGUUUGCACGAGGGUACUAGCCUCGGCUCAAGACGAUAAACUCUUCAAGGUUGUAGAGGCUGCGAGAAAGUUGAAUGUGAAACCAUUGGAUGAGUUGCGCUUCUCCUUAAAAUGUACACAUACUAUGGCAUACAUAGUGGAUUUAAUUGAUAACACAUGCACUUGUAGUCGAUUUCAGUUGAAGUAUUUUCCAUGUGAGCAUACAAUCGCGUUGACUAUGUAUAGAGGCUUUGCAGCGAGAACAUUACGUUCUCCUGAUUACAAAGCUGAAUAUUAGAAAGCAAUGUAUGCUGAGACGAUAUUUUCAAUGAAGCCGAAUGGAAAGUUCUCGACCAUAUUUUCCCACUUAACAGUUUGUUGCCAUCAGAAAUUGAAUCGCAUGGUCCUAGAUAUCUAAGUACGUCUAAAGUAUCAGCUACCGAAGAGUUUCCUCGAUUGUAUAGGUACGAGAGGUGCAGAGCAAUAUGGCAUACUCACUAAUUUUGUACAAGUCGAAUUUUCCUAAAUAACAGUUAGACUGAUGUGUAAUAAUAUCACUGUUAAAUGAACAAUAUUUAAAUUUAUUACAAUAUUUAAAGUUAUUUCAUAAUCAAAUAAAUAGUUGAAUAAACAAUGUUUUACAUAAAAUUUUGCAAUAUGUACAGUUAUUUCAUAAUUAAAUAAACAAUUACAUUGUACAAUGUACACAUAAGUUUAACAAUGUUUAAAUUUAGUUCAUAAUUAAAUAAACAUCUUCGACCCUCACGUAUUCCUUAGGUUUCGAGUGUGAUCUGAUAAAGACGUGUACGGCAUCUUCAAAACAUCUCCAGCUUACGGAUAGUUGUUGAAGGCAUCGAUAUCAUCAACAACUUUCAAAUGAAAAGGUUGAUCGUAGUCUUCUUGUGAUGAUAUCGCAUCACACUCUCAAGAAUAUAGACCAGUCUUAAUUUUAGUUUGUCUAACAUUUGGUCGCACUCCUUGAUUGCGCCAAUCAGCUACGGUAGAAACACCGACCACUGUCCUUGGAAAUAUACAUCGUGCACAUAUUACUUCUUUGAGUACUAUCACGAGCUGCUUUAUCACUCGUAAUAUUCAGUCCAGUCAUCAGAGCAAACUCAAACAUGAAGAAAGUAGCAACCUUAUUUCCAAGGUUGAAGUGGAAGGCAUCGUUGUCAACUGGUCUAAGCAACCUAUAUAGUAGUGCAUCGAUGAUCGGUAUUGCACCCUAUCAACUGAUACAGGCCAGAGGAAGGAUUGGCCUAGAAUAUUCGCACGUCGAUCAUCCAGCAACUCUAGUACGGAAGUGAAACUAUUAAAGUUACUGUUCCAAGUGACUUUUCCUGCCAUCCGUUUCAACUCCACAUCUAAAUGAUAUUCUAUCCUAAAAAAAAUUCAAAUGUUAGUAUAUUGAACAAAAGAUAAUGAAAUAAAAUAUAAUUUUAGAAAAUUAAGCGAACCGAAUUGUAACUACCAUACACAAAACAUAGAUCCAUUUUACACAAAUGCUCAUAAAAAAAUAAAUGAUUUAAUAAAUUUAAAGAGAAGAACAAGAAAAGAAUUAUAGACAAAAAUUUUAAAAUAAGUUAUUAUAAAAAUUUUUUAAUUAAAAUUAAAAUUUAAUAUUAUUUAAUUAAAGUUGAAAAAAUUACUUUUUAUCAUAAAAGAAAAAAAUUUUAAAUUAAACAAAAAUUAUUUAUAAUAUCAAGGAAAAAAUAGAAAUUUUAAAACUAUUUCCAAAAAAUUAUAAUAAAAACGAAACAAAUUGAACAAAAGAAAGUUACGAAAAUUAAAUAAAAAAUAUAUGAAUACUAUUUAGUUAAAAUUGAAAAAAAUUAAGUUUUAUCAUAAAGAGAAAAAAAUUGAAAAGAAUUUUAAAAUAAAAAAAUUAUUUAUAAUUUGAACAAAACAAUUAAGAAAUUUAAAAACUAUUUAAAAAAUUUAUAAUUAAAAAAACAAAAAAAAAAUAAAUGAGGAAAAAAAUAAAAAAAGAAGAAGAAAAAGGGGCGAACUUUUCAACCCAAAUGAGAGCUAAGCCGAACAGUCGGCUCAGACGGAUAAAUAAAGGGUUUCACCGACUGUGAGCACGGUCGGUGAUGAAUUUUAAAUGCUUGUUUUUGCAAAAAUUUAUUCUAAACCUAGCCCCCGUUUGAUUCCCAUUUUCAUAAGAAUGAGAAUGAAAAAUAUAAUCGUUAUGGAUUUCACACAAGAGAUAGAAAGUCAAAUAUGGUGGUUUGAUGGGAUGGAUAACGGUCAUAUUUUUCAUUUUUGUGACAAAAAAAAGGAAUCAAACGAGACCCUAGUAAUCUACCUAAAUAAUGAAGAAUAAAUAUUAUAAAUAACAAUUUAAUACACAAAUUCACAAAACAUGCAAAUGAAAAAACUAUCUCUUAAACCCAUAAAAAAAUAACCUUAUUUAAAAUAAUAAGCGAGUUUUGUAGUAGUCGGUGUUGGAUAAACUGUGAGGAUGACAAUUUCGAAUGGAUCCCAACUGUAAAGAUUGUGGGAAUUUUUUCCUUUUUUUCUUCUUUUCUCUCCUCUCAUUUCUUUGUUAAUAUAUAAAUUUCUAUUUUAACUUUUAACUUUUUUUUUCUUUAAAUGGUUAAAGACCAUUGUAAAAAUAUGGGGUCAAAUGACCAUUUUCAUGCAUUUCCUCGAAGUGGUGAGGAUAUUGGACUCUGAACCCGUAACCCGAAUUCAAAUCUCGGUGGGACCUUAUUCUCUUUUCCAUUUUUUAAUUUAAGCAAUAAUUCUCCACUCCAUUUUCAUUAAUUCCGUCUUAAAUUGCACCAUCUCUUGAGGGGUUGAAAUUUUCUAUUGGUCCCUUAGUUAUGAAUUUGCUACUAAUUAGUCGCUGUACUUUUAAAAUGGUUUCCAAUCAAUUCAUUACGCUAGUCUCUAACUAUAAAUUGAUGCAUAAUUUUGUAUCGCAGUCUGGCUUUCGUGGAACCUCCUCAGAUGUUACAUUAUCUCUCCACCUAAAUCGCUCCAUUGUAACUUUCCUCUAAGUCAAAUUAUAAAAUAGAUUUUUUAAUUAAUAAUUUUGCUUACUUCUGUCUAUAAAUUCUCAUACGCCUUUAUCAUGAAGGAGGAAUAAUGUUAAAUGACAAUUGAUAAUGUUACCCGUACACCAUGUCCUUUGCAUGCAAGUUUAUGCAUUAAUUAUGAAUUAAUUAACCUUUCAUGGGUUGGUUGACUUGAUAGAGUAGGUGAGCGCGGAGGUCUUAGGUCACGAGUUCGAUUCUCUUACCAACACUUUUUCGAUCGAGUCUGACAUACCGAACUUAUCUAGUGUGGUUUACAUGGUUAGCAUGGUUUGCAGACUAUUGCGUUAGUUCGAGAGUUUACCCAGUACGCACUCGAAUAGUAGCGACUAUGGAUCCCUCCGUCAUAAAAAGUUUAUGCAUUAAUUUUACCAUCACAACUAGCGUAAGAAUAUAUUGGAUACAAAUUUUCAAUUACAAACUACUUCGAAACAAAUUAAAAUUUUAAUAAAUUAGAUCAUAAGCUUAGCCGACUUAUCUAAAAUCUAACAAACCACAUGUAAAAUUGACACGUAAGACGUAGAAUAAUACGACAAAUCCUCUUAUCUUCGAACUUGUUAUUGAGAAUCGUCUUAAAAUUGAAAACUACCUUAGCCAUAGAAAAUAACAAAAUAAUGAAGAAAAAUUAUGUGGACACCUGCAAAUAAGUAAUUAUAUUGUCAAUGAAAAUUGAAAAGAGACAAAUCUAAUCUUGAAAAUUUUGCAUGCCUCAGAACGUAGAUGAUAAGAAGCCAACAGAUAUGCUCCGCAAUUAUUUGCAUGGUCCAACUUGAAUUUCGUAUGGAACUCAAUAUUCGGUAACCAAUAUCCACAUACAAAGCUAACUUGGGCCUUAGUUUUCCAUGAUUAUUAGUCCUUGUUUGAUCCUAUUAUUUAAAAUANNNNNNNNNNNNNNNNNNNNNNNNNNNNNNNNNNNNNNNNNNNNNAGUCAAUCAUACAUUUUUCGGUAAAAUAAUAUUACUCAUAAAUUCAAAACUUUUAACCAUAUAUUUUCCAUCAAUCUACUAUUUCAAAAUGUAUUAUUAGAUUACAAUGGUUCCAAACAUGCCCUUAGAAUCUGUUUAUUUACACGUAUUCUAUAUUGUGUAUUAUUUGACUAGACAAAGCUGAACAAGAGAGAUGCAAUAAAUAUUUUCAUUGAAAAAGGAGAGACAUGGUUUAAUAUUUUUUAUUGGGUUAUUCUGGUUGUACAGCCCCCUCAUGUAGCCUCCUCACAUGAGGGGGUUCAACGCGAGGCUCCUUCUCGUGAGGGGUCUGUGUGUCUUAUUAUACAUCAAGCAUAUCCCUUUUUUAUUUCUUCAUUCUUCGGAGGACUUUAAUGCAAACAAAAGGCAAUCCUUCCAUAGACAAUAAUCUAAUCGGAAAACCAAACCCAUUAUAUUACCUAAAAUCGAUGUUCAAAAGUUGACUAGUCGAGGACAAUACUUGGUGGAUCAAAGGAUUGAACAGAGGACCAAAUGAUUUAUUACCAUUAUAUAUUCAUCAAAGGGGUUAGUCCUUCUCAACCUUUUGUGUAGUGUGACUAUGUGCCCUCGGUUCUACAGGAGGCUUCAAGAUCCAAAAUAUUUAACCUGAGUUUGAGUUCUAUCGUCUAUGUCUGGACAGUUAACAUUGAUAUCAAAAAUUGCACGCAAAUUUGCUUUUACAUCGAUGGUUUCUUGUACAAAGGGCUUAGAUUUAUUUAAAAUUAAGGGACCCACAAUCUAAAAUUUUGACGGUGAAAAAAUAAUUACAACUACACUGUGCGAAAUGUUAGGUGCCUAUUUGAGUGCCAUUUUUUGCCUUAGAAUGCAUUUUUGGAAUUGUAUAUUGAUGAAGAGUGCGUAGUUGAAAAAAAAGUUUUGAGUUUGCAUUUAAUAUUAUUUUAUCGAAUAAUGUGUAGUUGAAAAAUAAGAGAAGAAAAAAUACAUUUUGAAAAUAACGGAGCCAAACAAGUGCUAAAUUUUAAUUAAAAAGUUCUUAUAACAUUUUUUUCGCAUCCAUUUUAUUUAUGAAAAAUCUCAAUUUGUAAUUAAUUUUUAUAAUUUUUUUUAAAAGUCUAAUUUGUAAGAAUAUUUUGUUUGCUUGUUUACUUUUUAAAGAUAUGACAUAUUGAUAAUACCACAAAAUAGAUAUUUCUUUUAUCAAAGAAUACUGAGAUAUAAUAUGCCCCUGUUUGGUAUGAUUACAAUAUUUAAUAAGUUAAAAUCAAUAAAUAAUUUUAACAAUAUAUUUUACAAAUUUACAACUUUUUAAUCACACAUUUCAUUAAUUUUCAUCAAUAUUUACUAAAAUUUUGAAUUAAUUCCUCCCAAACAUGGGACUAUAUAUUUUGAAAAUUUAUUUAUCUAAUUAAAGUGAUUUAAAAUUUUUACUUUUUAUAAAUAAUUUUUAUUAUAAAGUGGAGGGAAAUAUGUGAGUGAAUUCGAACAUUCACGUCUUGUGUAGGAACUUUCCAAUGUUGAGCAGACCCAAGUGAAUUUUAUUUUAAAUGAAAAUUUUCAAAAAGUCAAAUUAAUUCUACAAAAGUCUAUAAAAAUUUUAAAAUGAAAAUUUAUAAAAGUUUACUAGUACGAAAUACUUUCACUAAUUAAAUACAAAUCCAUCAAAAUCAAUGAAUUUCACAAAAAUCCAUCACUUAAAAGAAAUUCAUAAAAUUACAAUACACUCCCUCAUUUUUUCCAUGUUGGUAGAUAAUGAAAACUUAUCUCCAAUGAGAUUUUUAUUCAUGCAACCAAACAAGGACAACUUAAAAUCUCAAACAUUAUUGAUUAUUGAGCUGUAUUGGGUCCCACGAGAACACCCUACACCGAGAAGCACCCGAUCGAACUCGAUCAAUCUACCUGUCAUAUAAAACUACCACAGGCUCUCAUUCUGCACUGGUCGGAUUUGGUUGACUCAGAGAAGAGAAUUACGCAGAGAGGUAUAUUAGGCUGAUCAGCCUCCCUUUCUAGAGGCCUAAAGAGAGAAACCAUGGCCUCUAUAACCUCACAAUCCUUCUUUUCUCUCUCUAAACCCAAAUCCGACAGUAAUAAUACCGUUAAAUCUUCCUUCAUCCACCACCUCAAACAACCCUCCUCCACCAUCAAGAUUUUCCGGAAACCAAAGGAUAAGCAGCGAUCAUUGUCGGUGGUGGUGGCCUCGGUGGACAACGAACUUGACGUCAUCCCCGUGCAGAGUGACGACAGAGUUGACCAGCAAAGUGGCGUCGUAUGUAUGGAGAGGGAAACAG